GAUGAACGCUGGCGGCGUGCCUAAUACAUGCAAGUCGAACGGAGGUCCGCAAGGAUCUUAGUGGCGAACGGGUGAGUAACGCGUUGGUGACCUGCCCCAAAGAGAGGGAUAACAGACCGAAAGGUUUGCUAAUACCGCAUAAUCUGAUGGAAGACUAGAAGUCUGUCAGGGAAGGAGAAAUCCGCUUUGGGAGGGGCCUGCGUCCCAUCAGCUAGUUGGUAAGGUAACGGCUUACCAAGGCGAUGACGGGUAGGGGACCUGAGAGGGUGGCCCCCCACAAUGGAACUGAAACACGGUCCAUACACCUACGGGAGGCAG
rnacentral:rRNA from 1 species